GUAGGAAUACCCGCUGAACUUAAGCAUAUCAAAAGCGGGGAGGAA
rnacentral:rRNA from 1 species